CUCGAAACCAUCAAGUGGAGUCUUUCAUGAAUUUGAUCCAUGUGGUUCAGUUUCAGGUUUCAAAAUACAUCAUAGGUGGAAUGUAUAGGCAAGAGUCAUGAGGAUAUGACUACAAUAUGAUUAUAAUCAUUAUGGAAACAGAGAUUAUGAUGAUCAGAAUGGUUGUGGAAGACACCUGAGUAGGGAUAUAGAGAUGAUGAUCAGUAGGCAAUAUAGGAAUUCAAACAAUUGUGUUACUUUCAUUGUGUUUGCUUGACAUGAGGAAUGUAAGCUUGAUCGUCUUCUCUGUCAGGGGAAAUGGUGCUAGAGCUGAUGAUCAAUAUCGAGAUGAAGGUUUGACCAAACUUCUGUAGCAGCUGCUCCUGGGGGUUUCUCCUCCUGCUAGU